rnacentral:rRNA from 1 species
CCUACGGGAGGCAGCAGUGGGGAAUAUUGCACAAUGGGCGCAAGCCUGAUGCAGCAACGCCGCGUGAGGGACGACGGCCUUCGGGUUGUAAACCUCUUUUAGUAGGGAAGAAGCGAAAGUGACGGUACCUGCAGAAAAAGCACCGGCUAACUACGUGCCAGCAGCCGCGGUAAUACGUAGGGUGCAAGCGUUGUCCGGAAUUAUUGGGCGUAAAGAGCUCGUAGGCGGUUUGUCGCGUCUGCUGUGAAAACCCCGAGGCUCAACCUCGGGCCUGCAGUGGGUACGGGCAGACUAGAGUGCGGUAGGGGAGAUUGGAAUUCCUGGUGUAGCGGUGGAAUGCGCAGAUAUCAGGAGGAACACCGAUGGCGAAGGCAGAUCUCUGGGCCGUAACUGACGCUGAGGAGCGAAAGCAUGGGGAGCGAACAGGAUUAGAUACCCUGGUAGUCCAUGCCGUAAACGUUGGGAACUAGAUGUAGGGACCAUUCCACGGUUUCUGUGUCGCAGCUAACGCAUUAAGUUCCCCGCUGGGGAUCGGCCGCAAGGCUAAAACGUCAAAUGAAUUGACGGCUGAGAGNGCGACGACGACGACGAGGGAGUAGG